GUGGGGAAUAUUGGACAAUGGGCGAAAGCCUGAUCCAGCCAUGCCGCGUGUGUGAAGAAGGUCUUCGGAUUGUAAAGCACUUUAAGUUGGGAGGAAGGGCAGUAAGUUAAUACCUUGCUGUUUUGACGUUACCGACAGAAUAAGCACCGGCUAACUUCGUGCCAGCAGCCGCGGUAAUACGAAGGGUGCAAGCGUUAAUCGGAAUUACUGGGCGUAAAGCGCGCGUAGGUGGUUUUGUAAGUUGGAGGUGAAAUCGCCGGGCUCAACCUGGGAACUGCCUGCAAAACUGCAUGACUAGAGUACGGGAGAGGGUAGUGGAAUUUCCGGUGUAGCGGUGAAAUGCGUAGAUAUAGGAAGGAACACCAGUGGCGAAGGCGACUACCUGGACUGAUACUGACACUGAGGUGCGAAAGCGUGGGGAGCAAACAGGAUUAGAAACCCUUGUAGUCC
rnacentral:rRNA from 1 species